rnacentral:tRNA from 1 species
GCCGAAGUGGUGGAAUUGGUAGACACGCUAUCUUGAGGGGGUAGUGACCUUAGGGUUGUAUCGGUUCGAGUCCGAUCUUCGGCA